rnacentral:rRNA from 1 species
GAUGAACGCUGGCGGCGUGCCUAAUACAUGCAAGUCGAGCGAACGCACGAUAAGCUUUCUUCUCUGAUGUUAGCGGCUGACGGGUGAGUAACACGUGCAUAACCUUCCUAUAAUUCUUGGAUAACUUCGUGAAACCGGAUCUAAUACCGGAUAAUAUUUUGUACCGCUUGUUUCAAAAGUUAAACACGGUUUUCCUGUCACUUUUAGAUGGUUCCGCGCUGCAUUAGCUAGUUGGUAAGGUAACGGCUUACCAAGGCAACGAUGCAUAGCCGACCUGAGAGGGUGAUCGGCCACACUGGAACUGAGACACGGUCCAGACUCCUACGGGAGGCAGCAGUAGGGAAUAUUGCGCAAUGGGCGAAAGCCUGACGGAGCAACGCCGCGUGAGUGAUGAAGGUCUUCGGAUCGUAAAACUCUGUUAUUAGGGAAGAAAAUAAGUGUAAGUAACUGUGCACAUCUUGACGGUACCUAAACAGAAAGCAACGGCUAACUACGUG